AUAUUGCUUCUGGCCUAAAACAAAUUUUACGGCCAAAGCAAAAAGGCGAGCCACGCCAGAUACAGCGCUUUGGGCGAAACAUGUUGCGGUGGUUUUGGUGUAUACAGAUAGUUACGAGGAAGCCAGAGUAAAGGCUAAUCGAGCCACCGUGACAUCCAACCUGGAGAGUGACAAAGAAACCCCACUGAGACCAGUACGGCCUCCAGCUCGAUACUUAAGACAGCUGGAUAGCGAUGAUGAUGACGAAGAUUCACCGCCGCCAAAAAGACAGAUUUUAACCACACCAUAAUGUAAUUAAAUUGUUCAGAAUCUUUUAGUUACAUGAUUACAAAUCUGUGCUCAGUGUUCAAGAAGAUUUGUU
rnacentral:lncRNA from 1 species